rnacentral:lncRNA from 1 species
UUUAAACUAUUCCAGGUCACACAGAAAGAUGGAAAACUUAAUGCCCAAACUGGGUAAUAGUAAAGGAAAAAACUUAUAUGUUAAUUUCAUUUCUAAAUCUAGACUCAAAUAUCUUCAAUGAAAUGUAAAGAUGAAAUCAAAUCCAGAAGUAUAUUUAGAAGGAAGAUCAAUCAUGGACAAGCAGAGUUUAUUGCACAAGCGGAGAACCGGGCCUCAGUGGACGCAAGCAGGAAGCGAGUCCAUUUGUUCUGAUCGCUGCUCUGACGAACGAGCUCAGCCAGCUCGUCCUUCUGUGUCCUGGGUAUUGAGAAAAAGGCGUUUGCCAGAUCAAUAGCUGCAUACCGGGUCCCUGAGUGUGUGUUAAUUUGCUCAAGCAAUGAAACCACGUCUGGAACAGCAGCUGCAAUUGGAGUCACCGCCUGGUUAAGUUUAAGGUCAAGGAGCCAAUGUGAGGAUUCUGCCAGUUGCUAAGUAUGUCUGUUCCCAAUAAGGAAGCUAGAACCAGGGAAAUGACCACACGAUGGGUUUGGGGACCCCCUGGACCCACUGUGAGAUGGACCUGAGCUAAAACUCCAUUGAUCACCUGACCUCCGUGAGCCCCUACUCUGACUGAGGGCCACACUGAUGCUUCGGAUCUUUUGGAAUCAGUGUCAGUUCAGAGCCAGUGUCCACUAAUUCCUGAGAAGUCAGAUGAUUUCCUUUCCCCCACGCGCUGGCACCCUGGUAAAGAUCCGGAGUCCUGUUGGGAAAGGCUGGGAAAAAGAUUAACAGUAUGAAUUAACAGUACAAAUCUGUGACAGUGUGGCAGGGUCCUUCCUAAGGGGCGCCUGGCCUCCCCCUCAUUCAGGACACUUGGGGUCUGUAAACUGGCACAAGUCAGGAAAUCAAUUG